rnacentral:rRNA from 1 species
GACGGAGGGUGCAAGCGUUGUUCGGAAUUACUGGGCGUAAAGGGCGCGUAGGCGGUCUGUUAAGUUCGGUGUGAAAGCCCCCGGCUCACCUGGGGAACUGCGCCGGAAACCGACAGACUCGAGUACCGGAGAGGAGGGUGGAAUUCCCAGUGUAGAGGUGAAAUUCGUAGAUAUUGGGAAGAACACCGAUGGCGAAGGCAGCCAUCUGGACCGACACUGACGCUGAGGCGCGAAAGCGUGGGGAGCAAACAGG